rnacentral:lncRNA from 1 species
AAGUCUGGGUAGCAGGCAGACACCUGCGGUCCUGAGCCACUGGGGUCAGCCUUGGGACAAUUAAAGUGACAAGGAGGUCUGCUGUGCAAGGGGAUUCCUUCUCUCCAUCAUUCAUUAUUCAGUGUGCCUUAUAUGAAAGCUACUGCGGGAGGAUGAGCAUGAGAAACAUGGGAUGCCCCCUCCUAGCACUUGCAACCCAGUUAAAAAGACAGACUUCAAAUGAAUACAUUAACUGAAAGUCUCAGUACCCAUCAGCUCUUUACCAUCAGCUGUAAAAGCCUCCUGGGAAAGCUCUGCCAGAAUUGAAACCUGAAAGACUCAUGUCUCCAGUCCCAUUGUCUGCCACUCACUGUCUUUGCAUCAGUUUCUCUCCCUACAACCUGGUAGGUACUAUCUCCUUCGAGGGUGGAAGGGAUCUGGCAUAUAUAUUGUGCUAAAGGAGCUGAUUUCUGUCAGGGCGCGCGGUGUAAGACAUCAGCACGACAUGAUUUGCGGAGGGAUAGAGAGGGCGGCUCGCCGCACAAUGGUGGGAAAUAGCACGGUGUAUUUUGACAUGAAAGAGUCUCAAAAGCAAAGGAAUUGUUCCUUGUUUGCUUGCUGCUAUUAGACGUCAUUUCAUGUCUUUCCAAGUAUUGGAAUCUGAUAGAGAAUUUUCCCUUCAAAGACCGCAGCAGUCUUUGACGGGGAAAAUUUCCCAGCGGUCUCAAGUGCCCUUCCGCGCGUACUGGGCUAAGUUCUCCUGCAGGAACCAGAGAGAACAGCACACACAGCUGUGUAAAGAUCACAAGCCGAGGAGGGGGAAUUUGCAUAUUACAAAGGAGGUCCAACAGAAGCUGCCUUUGCCUCUGAAUAAUUGAAAAUCUCCUCCGUGGUUGCAGUGCUGAGAAGCCUUUUGUUUCACUCCAAAGCACUUUCAUUCUGAUUUCACCUCUGCGCCCCCAGGUCCUGCUGUCUGCACUCCAGGGACAUUAACGUGCAGGUCGGUUUGUGUCUGUCACCUUUCUCUCUGCCUCCUGGGACCUGGGGGAGGCGUAUGAACUUGCCAGCUCCCUUCCCAGGAC